UACGUAGGUGACAAGCGUUGUCCGGAUUUACUGGGCGUAAAGAGCGCGCAGGCGGUCGUUCAAGUCGAGUGUGAAAGCCCCCGGCUCAACUGGGGAGGGUCAUUCGAUACUGAUCGACUUGAAGGCAGGAGAGGGAAGCAGAAUUCCCGGUGUAGUGGUGAAAUGCGUAGAUAUCGGGAGGAAUACCAGUGGCGAAGGCGGCUUCCUGGCCUGUUCUUGACGCUGAGGCGCGAAAGCUGGGGGAGCAAACGGG
rnacentral:rRNA from 1 species